GUAUCUCCCUCCCAGUCGGUGUGAGGUGGUUUUGUGUAAGCACACCUUUUAAAGGGGCUGCUGUUCUCACUGCUGUUCCUUGGUUUUUAUUGCAUCUUUUCCUCCGGGGCGUUUUGUCUCCGCAACAUUGCUUUGAGAGCAGAGGUGUCAGCACUCUCCAGCUCUAUUUUAAGCUUGGGUAGGAGCACACAUAAUAAUCCAAGGUAAUGGGCUGGAACCAGUAGGAUGGAGAUCAGUUCUAUCCUGACAGCCUUGGAUUCAACAAAAGCUGACCUCAGGUGCUGAAGAAAAGCCAGCGAGUGGACCACAUCCCUUUUGGGGCUGGCCGGAGCCAGGGCUUCCGAGGACAGCAGACCAAGAUGUGAGCUCUCAGCUGCUCCCGCACGCCUGCACCACCCGUGGACUCUAACCCUCCAGAACCGCAAGCCCCAAUUAAACGUUUCUUUCAUA